UACGUAGGGGGCAAGCGUUGUCCGGAAUCAUUGGGCGUAAAGAGCGUGUAGGCGGCCCGGUAAGUCCGCUGUGAAAGUCCAGGGCUCAACCCUGGAAUGCCGGUGGAAACUGUCGGGCUAGAGUCCGGAAGAGGCGAGUGGAAUUCCUGGUGUAGCGGUGAAAUGCGCAGAUAUCAGGAGGAACACCGAUGGCGAAGGCAGCCCCCUGGGCUGACACUGACGCUCAGGCACGAAAGCGUGGGGAGCAAACAGG
rnacentral:rRNA from 1 species